CGGGGUGUUUCAGGGCUGAGGGGUGUGGGGGACCCAACUGCCCACCAGGCACAGCUGGGCUUCUGCUGCCUCAGCCUUGAGCUCCCAACCCCCCUUCCCCAAAUCCUGGCUCCCUCCUCCCUUUCCCCAUCCCCGCUUGGUGACAGAAUCUAUUCUUAGUUCUCUCAUUCUCCUGAGAUGCAAGGGUCUGCUGGGAGCUUCUAGAGCUGGAAGCAGAGCUCCUAGGGCCCUAGGAUCUGGUGCAGCCUCAGGAUGGAAGGCGCCUGAGUCCCUGAGUCAGCGCAUGGAGGUCUGCCCCUCACCAACCAGAACACCUCAACUGUACUCACAUGCCCUAAACGAUCUGAUCGACUCAUUCGCACCGUGCUGUGCCGUCCAGGAGUUCCUGCAGGAGCCGGGCACUCCUUCUCCGCACUGGCUGUUGGGAACGUUGGCUGCUGACGCUCCAGCUGAGUCCUCCUUCAGGACUCAUCUUCAUAUAAGGGAGCUCUUUUGGGCAAGGUCACGCCCCCCUCUACCCCAGGGGCAGCCACAUCCAAAAGACUGGUGGAAACAGGAGUAUAAAGGCCCAGCCCUCUCGCUUAAAUCCAGGGAACUCUGGAGGACCAGUGCAGCUCCAGAGCUCCCUGUGGGGUCAGCUGAGGCCUGUCUAGGGCCUCCAGCGUCCAUCACAGCCCGACUCCUCUCUCUGCCCAAUCCAGUUUCCUUUAUAUGCCCACGGGGGUUGAUUGCAAAGGCCCUCCCCAAGAAGCCUCCUUCAAGCAAGUCUGUACUUUAGAGUGUGUUUUCUGGGAAACCUACCUAAGAUACCCACUAAAGUAUAAAUGAUUACUCAGUUCCAAGGGAUGUCUUCCCUGGGGGUGUUUGCAUAGCAAGAAUAAUAGCUAACAUUCAUGGAGCAAUUUCUAUGUGCCAGGCACUGUGCUAAGCACUUUGCCUGUAUCACCUUAUUUAACGAGGAAUAGAAUUUAUGCCAAAGGAAUGAAUUUCUAAUGGUGAAAUUUCAAGCUUAAGGAGGCUGGAAAUGUUUAUGUGGCACAAAUUCUGUUACAAAUUUCUCUGCCUCACGGUAUUCUCAGUCCUGAUCUUUGUACUGGCUGAGUAAAGCCCCCAGAAGUUCAGGAUGCGGGCUCCCAAUCUCAUUCUUCCUCAAAAAAAAGCAUUUUUUGUUCUGCUGAGGAAGAUUCUCCCUGAGUUAACAUCCAUUGCCAAUCCUCUUUUUUUUG